rnacentral:rRNA from 1 species
UACGGAGGGGACUAGCGUUGUUCGGAAUUACUGGGCGUAAAGCGUGCGCAGGCGGUUGUGCAAGACAGGUGUGAAAUCCCCGGGCUCAACCUGGGAACUGCAUUGGUGACUGCAAGGCUUGAGUGUGUCAGAGGGAGGUGGAAUUCCGCGUGUAGCAGUGAAAUGCGUAGAUAUGCGGAGGAACACCGAUGGCGAAGGCAGCCUCCUGGGAUAACACUGACGCUCAUGCACGAAAGCGUGGGGAGCAAACAGG